rnacentral:rRNA from 1 species
UGCCCUGGCAGUCAGAGGCGAUGAAGGGCGUGCUAAUCUGCGAUAAGCGCCGGUAAGGUGAUAUGAACCGUUAUAACCGGCGAUACCCGAAUGGGGAAACCCAGUGUGAUUCGUCACACUAUCAUUAACUGAAUCCAUAGGUUAAUGAGGCGAACCGGGGGAACUGAAACAUCUAAGUACCCCGAGGAAAAGAAAUCAACCGAGAUUCCCCCAGUAGCGGCGAGCGAACGGGGAGGAGCCCAGAGCCUGAAUCAGCAUGUGUGUUAGUGGAAGCGUCUGGAAAGGCGCGCGAUACAGGGUGACAGCCCCGUACACAAAAGCGCAUGUGCUGUGAGCUCGAUGAGUAGGGCGGGACACGUGGUAUCCUGUCUGAAUAUGGGGGGACCAUCCUCCAAGGCUAAAUACUCCUGACUGACCGAUAGUGAACCAGUACCGUGAGGGAAAGGCGAAAAGAACCCCGGCGAGGGGAGUGAAAAAGAACCUGAAACCGUGUACGUACAAGCAGUGGGAGCACCCUUUGGGUGUGACUGCGUACCUUUUGUAUAAUGGGUCAGCGACUUAUAUUCUGUA